UACGGAGGGGGCUAGCGUUGUUCGGAAUUACUGGGCGUAAAGCGCGCGUAGGCGGCUUUGCAAGUUAGAGGUGAAAGCCCGGAGCUUAACUCCGGAACUGCCUUUAAAACUGCAUCGCUAGAAUCGUGGAGAGGUGAGUGGAAUUCCGAGUGUAGAGGUGAAAUUCGUAGAUAUUCGGAGGAACACCAGUGGCGAAGGCGGCUCACUGGCUCGGUACUGACGCUGAGGUGCGAAAGCGUGGGGAGCAAACAGG
rnacentral:rRNA from 1 species